CAAGGGUGGAGUGCUGGGGCAGGAGCUGUCUUUGGCCAUGACACUCCCCCCUUGCCGUAUCCUCUGUGGAUGAGCAGGGCAUGGAGGGGGCAGGAGCCGAGGAAGCAGCAUGGGCCAAGGAUCCAGAGACCUGCUUUGCAGAGAUGAGCCCAAGCCAAAAUUCCCUGAGCUUUGAAGGGGAAAGACAGAUAAGAAAUGGGAAACACUGCAAGCUAAGGAGAAAUCUGCAAGGUAUCGCAAUGCAGGAAGAACCAGAGACCAACAGAACUUGAGAGAUAGAGCUGAGGAAGCCAUCAAGAAGCAGACGUGGCCCCACAGAGCUCAUGACUUAAUAGGACCUAGGGAGGCCAGAAAUCCCUGAUGAGCUCCUAAAGUAUAUGUUGAAUAAAAACAAAACAAAACAAAAAAGUUGAGCAACUGCUUUUCUGUGAAAUCUUAGACUCCAAAUAUAAAAGAGAAGAGAGAUCUGAUGACCUACUGGUCUCAAAAAUAAUCCCUUCAUUUGAUAAAGAAAAUGUGGAAGCAAACAGACAACUUUGUUAAGUGUAAGGAAUGUUGUUCUUAUGGCCCUGAUCUGAUUUUGUAAACAUCUAUGCACAUGCAUAACUUUAAGCACACAAGUAGUCCCAUUGAAGCCACUGGGCCUAUUCAUAAGUUUAGAGUUAAGUACAUUUGAGUUUUAUUAGGAUCAACAUCUCAGAAUGUGUAGCAAUGAAUGCUACAGCUAAUAAACCUUAAACAAAUAGGGAGGGAAGAUGAGAAUCAAAUAAACUCAGUUCAUACAGCCUCUGUCUCUCUCUCUCUCUCUGUCACUCACACACAUAAAGAACAACAAUAUAAAACAUCUCACUGUAUAUUCCAAAAAUAAUGUUAACUCUGCCCCUAUAUGACCAACCAACUACUCAAGGACACACAACAACCACACCAUUUUGUAUAAGGAAAUAUUCCACAGACUUGCUGACAACAGUCUUUCCUCCAGACAAUUUAUUUUGUCAGGUAAAUUAAGUACUAAUCUGAUUUGAUGGAAUAGGCACUCAGUCCCUCUUCACAUCCAAAGAUAGAUAGAUUGUACCCAAACAACUGAGAUUUUGCAGUCAAAAAGAGUAAUAAGCCCAUGGCUGCAAAAUGUAGUUCCUUCCAGCAACUUUCCACAGCUGCUAUGCCCCUGUUUACUCAAAGAACCUAAUAUCUUGUUCUGCAAAAUGCUGCCCAUUUAUA